UAUAUGUGUUCUUCAGCACAAUAACGAGAUAUUCUACAAUUACUAAAAGUUGGUUCUAGAUUACCAACAUGUUCCCUCAGAAUUUCGGACACACUUCUUUUCUUCUCCUCCUGUUUUUCCUCUUUACAUCUGCUUCACUCGCUGCUGCAGGAGCUCCAGCUGCCGGGCCACCUCACUGGGCAGGUCGUCGUUCACCUGCGUGGUGAAGUACUUCCUCACCUCAUCCACCUCCCUCUGCCAGAACUCCUGAUCCAGAGAGAACAGCUCGUUGAGGUCCACGUCCUCCUGCAGGCCCUGGAGGUUUAGAGAGUCACAGUGAGGCAGGUAGCCCACGGCAGAGGGCACGGCGCCGGCCUCGCCAUUCACCCGCCUGAACAUCCAGUCAAGCACGCGGAUGUUGUCGCCGAAACCGGGCCACAGAAACCCGGCGGUGGGGCUCUUGCGGAACCAGUUGACGUGAAAGAUCUUGGGGAGCUUGGCGCCGGGGCGGUCGGCCAUACUCAGCCAGUGAGAGAGGUUUCCCUCCUAGUUCCUGCUCACCUUCUGGCCUGCGCCCUCCAAAGAUGAUGGCCUCAAUAGGGACUCCCUCUGGGGAUUCCCACAGUGGGUCGAUGAUGGGACACUGACCGGCCGGAGUGCAGAAACGAGAGUUGGGGAAGUGAUGGUGACUCCCUCAGGCAGCGUCUGGUCCAUUCCCUCCCAGUACACACCGCCAUCGCUAGUCUCUGCAACAUUAGUGAAAACGGUGUUCUUGAUGAUGGUCUUCAUGGCAUUGGGGUUGGUUUUGGCUGAGGUGCCGGGCGCAACUCCAAAAAAGCCAUUCUCCGGGUUGAUGGCACGUAGGUUGCCUAGUGGUAAGGAACAAAGAGGAGGAAAAUAUAAAUAAUGAACAAUAGAAGGCCCCGCGACCCUCUACGCAGGAUAAGCGGUUGACGAUGGAUGGAAUAACAGAAGGCGAUGUCGUCUCCCACACACUCAACCUUCCAGCCCGGCAGCGUCGGGCAGAGCAUGGCCAGAUUUGUCUUCCCGCAGGCGCUGGGGAAGGCUGCUGCCAUGUACUUCUUCUCCCCGGCAGGGUUGGUGACGCCCAGGAUCUGAGCAGGAGAAACAUUUGCAUGUGCUCUGCCAGCCAGCCCUCCUCCUUAGCGAUACGUGAGGCAAUGCGCAGAGCAAAGCACUUCUUCCCCAGCAGGGAGUUUCCUCCGUAACCACUACCGAAUGAGACGAUCUGCCUGCGGUCUGGGAUGUGGGCGAUUAAUGUCUGCUCGGGGUUACAAGGCCAGUUGUUCACCAGGGGCUCUGAAAGAGGAAUCAGUGAUCAGCAUGUGUUUGCAGGACUGAAGAAAAAAAAAAUGAUAACUGAAUAUAAUAAUCAGUAAUAGCAGUAGCAGAAGUGGUUUAGCUGGUUGUAAUACCUAAAGCAGCAACAGCUGUAUCAGCAGUAGUAAUAGUAGUUGAUGCAUUAAUUAUAAUUAUUGUAGCAUUAGUAUUUGUAGUUGUAUAUAUAAUACAAGUAGUAACAGUAGUUGCAGCAGUAAUCACUGCAUCAUAGUCAGUAUUAGUAGUUAUAGUAGUAUGGGUAGCAGUAGUAAUUGUAGUUGGGCCAACUGAAGGACUAAAGGAGGCAUCAUUCAGCAGUAAUAUUGGUAAAACUAGAAAUGCCACAGUGGUUCUAGUCCUUUUCAUCAGUAGUAGAUAGCGUUGCCAUAGUGCUGCUGAAUAAUUAUGAUGUAAAAACAAGUUGAUGUUGACUCACUUUUGAGCGGUAGAGGACAGCCGACGGAGUGCAGACAGCGGACGAACUCGCCCGUCCCCAAAGCGGACAGCACAUCCUUCCCCAUACGGGUCAUCACCCUCAUACUGACCACCACGUAGGGAGAGUCUGUCAGCUCCACGCCAAUCUUAGAGAGGGGGGAACCUACUGGACCCAUACUGAAGGGAAUCACAUACAUGGGAACCGCUGAGUCAUGGCUUUGUCAAACUCUUCUGGGGGCAUCCAGCGACCCAGCUGGCUGACUGCGCCCCCCAGCGAUGUGGGCACCGUGUCCCUCUGGUCCCGGGUCACAAUAACAGUCUUACUCUCAACCCGAGCUACGUCCCUCGGGUCAGUCCUGGCCAACCAGCUGCAAGAGGAGGAAAGAUGGAAUAGAGGGAGGAAGUAGAAGAGAAGGAAGAGAGGAGAAGGAUGGAAGCUGGGUCAGGAUUGCGCGGUUUUCCUCGUCUGAGCCGUCACAGAUGUGGAGGGAGUCGGGCUGGCACAGACUCACAUUGGCAUCUACAAACUCCUUCACGGCCGGACUGAGGGUACUGAGAUCGCCCUGCAGGAUCCUGGGACUGCUCUGGUUCUGGGACUGAAGCUGAGGAGGCAUGGUGGAGGAGUCUGGAGAGAGAGUGAGCCGAUAGACAGAGAAAGAACAGACAGGAAGUCUAGGAGUGGAGAAAGGUUGGACUUGAGGGUG